UAAAGUGAUCUGUGCGCAGGUUUUGUGAGGAGCCUGUAUGUUCAGCGUUUUGUCUUUGCUUUAGUGCUGUGUGUUAUGCCUCUAUGUUUUUAUCAUGAGUUCAGUAUCAUGGUCUUGGACAUUCAGGACUAAUUAGUUUCACUUUCCUCAGCCUUCUGCCAUCUGUCACCAUCCUAUCAGCUCAGUCCAGUCGUCUGUCACCGUUAUCAGCUCAGACCAGUUCCUCCUGCUGCCACUAAGCAGUCCCAGCUCUGUAAACAUGUUCCCCAGCCUUCAUAUACCUGCCUCAUUCACCCACUCACUGCCAGAUGGUCUGCUCUGAUUUUAUGUGCUCUGUUGUAACGCUCCUGGUUCUGUUUGCUGAACCUGCUGGAUGUAGAAACUCUGCCUGUGUUCAGCCCUCACUGAAGGUUUCCAGUGUCUGCCUGCUGCUAGUCUGCUCUGUUUCCUGUGAGGUCCUGCUGCUUGCUCUGGUGAACCUUCAGCCUGCAUUAUCUGCUCCAGUCAACUCCUGCCUUCACCACCGGCUCUGGUUCAUCACCGCCUGCACCUCCUGAUGUACUGAAGGUUCCUCAUCAGUGAUGCAGAAAACUUCAUGUCUACAGAGUGUUGAUCAGUCAGAGAAAUGAUUGAAGUGAAACAGAUCUUACCAUCAUGAUGCUGACCAACAGCUCACCAAUCAUCCCUCCUGAUGGAGACCAGCACCAUCUAUCUCCACCUCUGAGAACCUGCUGAUGUCUCCUGAGCCUCCACAAUCAUUACAGCAUCUAAAUGACUUUAACAAACUGAAUUAUGUCUUCUUGACAGAAACACAUCAGAAGAGAAAAUCCACAACUUGCUGCCUGGAUUUGUUCCCUCUGAGUUUCUAAAAGCAGUUUUUAGCUGUGAUGCCCCUGAAAUAUUACAGAUAGUAAAUACUUCCCUCCAGUUAGUUUGUUUUCUAAAGGCUGAAAACUGCAGAGAUCAAACCUCUGUUAGAGAAACCAACUCUAGAUCCAUGGAUAAUAAGUCCCUACAGGAUCAGAACUAAUCCACUGGUUCUGGAAAAGAUCAUUGAAA